rnacentral:rRNA from 1 species
UACGUAGGGGGCUAGCGUUGUCCGGAAUCAUUGGGCGUAAAGCGCGUGUAGGCGGUCCGGUAAGUCCGCUGUGAAAGUCGAGGGCUCAACCCUCGAAUGCCGGUGGAUACUGUCGGGCUUGAGUACGGGAGAGGCGAGUGGAACUCCGAGUGUAGAGGUGAAAUUCGUAGAUAUUCGGAAGAACACCAGUGGCGAAGGCGGCUCACUGGCCCGGUACUGACGCUGAGAUACGAAAGCGUGGGGAGCAAACAGG